UACGUAGGUGGCAAGCGUUGUCCGGAUUUACUGGGCGUAAAGGGCGUGCAGGCGGUUUGUUAAGUGCAGGGUGAAAGCUCCCGGCUCAACUGGGAGAGGUCCUUGCAUACUGGCAAACUCGAGGGAGGCAGAGGAAAGUGGAAUUCCGGUGUAGCGGUGAAAUGCGCAGAUAUCGGGAGGAACACCAAUGGCGAAGGCAGCUCGCUGGACGUUACUGACGCUGAGACGGACGAAAGCGUGGGGAGCAAACAGG
rnacentral:rRNA from 1 species